UCUCCGUAGGUGAACCUGCGGAGGGAUCAUUACAGAGUUCAUGCCCUACCGGGUCGAUCUCCCACCCUAUGUUAUUAUUACUUUGUUGCUUUGGCUGGCCGUUAGGCUCCGGCCCAACUACCGCCCCCGGCUGGUAAGCGCCCGCCAGAGGACCCAAAACCCUGAAUAUUAGUGUCGUCUGAGUACUAUAUAAUAGUUAAAACUUUCAACAACGGAUCUCUUGGUUCUG
rnacentral:misc_RNA from 1 species